rnacentral:rRNA from 1 species
GUCGAGCGCACUCUUCGGAGUGAGCGGCGGACGGGUUAGUAACGCGUGGGAACGUACCCAGAUCUACGGAAUAGCCUCGGGAAACUGAGAGUAAUACCGUAUACGCCCUUCGGGGGAAAGAUUUAUCGGAUUUGGAUCGGCCCGCGUUAGAUUAGAUAGUUGGUGAGGUAACGGCUCACCAAGUCUACGAUCUAUAGCUGGUUUUAGAGGAUGAUCAGCAACACUGGGACUGAGACACGGCCCAGACUCCUACGGGAGGCAGCAGUGGGGAAUCUUGGACAAUGGGCGCAAGCCUGAUCCAGCCAUGCCGCGUGAGUGAUGAAGGCCUUAGGGUCGUAAAGCUCUUUCGCCAGAGAUGAUAAUGACAGUAUCUGGUAAAGAAACCCCGGCUAACUCCGUGCCAGCAGCCGCGGUAAUACGGAGGGGGUUAGCGUUGUUCGGAAUUACUGGGCGUAAAGCGCGCGUAGGCGGACCAGAAAGUUAGGGGUGAAAUCCCGGGGCUCAACCCCGGAACUGCCUCUAAAACUCCUGAUCUAGAGUUCGAGAGAGGUGAGUGGAAUUCCGAGUGUAGAGGUGAAAUUCGUAGAUAUUCGGAGGAACACCAGUGGCGAAGGCGGCUCA